rnacentral:rRNA from 1 species
UACGUAGGCAGCGAGCGUUGUUCGGAGUUACUGGGCGUAAAGGGUGUGCAGGCGGUUGCUUAAGUUUGGUGUGAAAUCUCCCGGCUCAACUGGGAGGGUGCGCCGAAUACUGAAUGACUUCGAGUGCGGGAGAGGAGAGUGGAAUUCCUGGUGUAGCGGUGAAAUGCGUAGAUAUCAGGAGGAACACCGGUGGUGUAGACGGCUCUCUGGACCGUAACUGACGCUGAGACACGAAAGCGUGGGUAGCAAACAGG